ensembl:lncRNA
CUCUGUCCAUGGGAUUUUCCAGGCAAGAGUACUGGAGUGGGUCACCAGUGUCUCUAAAUGGAAUCCAGUACUAGGAAAAAACACUUGAUUGCAUACAGAUUGCUUCCGUUAUUAUUUGCUUAUUAAAUAGUUCUCUACUGGGUUUUAUUUUAAAAGGUUGCUUCUGAAUAUGUGUACUUUAUGAGAACAGUGCUCACUGUCUUCACACCAUGCCUUUUUCCCCAACAACAGAUUAGGUAUUUAGCUCUUUACAGUUUCAACAGGAUCGAACUUCUACCUCUUUCAGGUCAAAAUACAUCCUCCCUUAUUUUUCAAACUAAUGGUAGUCAGUGAACCAUAUAUUUUCUGUAACUGGUAAAAAAUAGGUUUCCCAGAGCAAUUGAGACUAAAAUGAAUUGUACGGAUUUACCAUGGCAUGCCCAACAGUAUGUUCACAUGUACAAUCUGGCUGUGACCUUUCAUAAAAUCAACCUGUGUUGAUAACAAUGAUCUCCAUUCCAGCUCUCCUAAUGCACACUCGCUGCAGUGAUAACCGAAUGGGUGGGAUGUUUCUUUCUGAGGUCUUCAUUGGUAGAACAUGGGUGUGGUCAGCUGUUUUCUGAUUGUCCAGUUUCACAGACAACACUGAAUCCUUCUUGCAUUCUGACCAUCCAGCUCAGAAAACGUGUCACUCACUCCCCAGGACAUUUAACAAGACUACUUUUUGACUUCUCCUAUUUGCCUCAAGAAGCAAUUUUGCCACUUCAUUUAUGAGAGAAGAAAAAGUGCCAUGAAGCAUCUCUAUGAUGGCAGAGACCUCAUGCUGGGAGUUGAUCUUGCCACCCUGAAACUAAUCUGGAAAUAUUUGUACCUUAAUCUCCUGCAGAAAUAAACCUUCUGGAGCUCUCAGUCUGACGUACAGUGAAAUUUGCGCUAUAUCAGCUGUCACUGUGCACACUGCUAGGAAUAAAAAGAAAACGCAGAAGCUUAAGUCCUGUGCUUGGAAGAUUAUUUCUUGUUUACGCCCUCCCUUUGCAGAAGACUUUCUGUUGCUCGUUCAUUACAGAGAUUUUCCUCUCCCUUCCUGAACUAGUCUCCCUUGCUAUCUCUCUUCAUUUAGCAUUAAAUCCUAUCACACAACCAAAUCUUUAACCUGGGUCUGCAAAGGCCUGUUUUGCUUAUCUGACUGUUAGAGAUUCUAAAUGGAAUUGCAGGCUUCUUACUCAUCCAGGAGAUAAGGCUGGUGGUCAAGAGGCCAGUUCUCUGCUGCUAUUUCUCCCCAGUCUACUUCUAGCAUCCUUGCUGAUCUUGUCAAAAAGAACUACUCCUCACAUCAUUUAACCUGCUGGUAUGUGCAGGCUAAAAAUAACAAAUGAUAUUGCUCAAAUGGUAGUAGAUGGCAGGGAGCAUGGUGCAACUGACCCCAAAGUAGGUUACUCCCUACAAGGAAUGUGUCCUGCCCUGGUCACUAUAUACACUGAUAGUUAGUUUUAAUGGCAUACCUAUGGUCUCCACAUUUCUGUUUUUUUUAAAGAAAAAACUUGGAAACACCUGUGCAGUGCUCUUUUGUGUCACAACUCAAUUCUACAGAGAUAAAUAUUAGAGUUGCCAAGGUCAGUGACCCUGCCUAAUGGCAUCGUGGACAGCCAGUCAAGAGCAUGUCUCUGCUCACUGCAGGCUAAUUAAGGGUUGAAGGAAGCCAGCGCCGCAGUGGCACUUGCACGGCCUCCCUCAGCACAGAUUUUUGCCCUUGGCAUUCUGAGAACAACCUGACAUGUACUCUGGUAGAUGCAGUGUGCUUGCUUCAGCAAGUUUAAGUGAGUCUACCCUCUGUCAUUGACU